rnacentral:rRNA from 1 species
AUUGAACGCUGGCGGCAUGCCUUACACAUGCAAGUCGAACGGCAGCACGGGGCAACCUGGUGGCGAGUGGCGAACGGGUGAGUAAUGCAUCGGAACGUACCUUUCAGUGGGGGAUAACGUAGCGAAAGUUACGCUAAUACCGCAUAUUCUGUGAGCAGGAAAGCAGGGGAUCGCAAGACCUUGCGCUGAUUGAGCGGCCGAUGUCAGAUUAGCCAGUUGGUGAGGUAAAGGCUCACCAAGGCGACGAUCUGUAGCGGGUCUGAGAGGAUGAUCCGCCACACUGGAACGGAGACACGGUCCAGACUCCUACGGGAGGCAGCAGUGGGGAAUUUUGGACAAUGGGGGCAACCCUGAUCCAGCCAUGCCGCGUGAGUGAAGAAGGCCUUCGGGUUGUAAAGCUCUUUCGGCCGGGAAGAAAUCGCACGGGCUAAUACCCUGUGUGGAUGACGGUACCGGAAUAAGAAGCACCGGCUAACUACGUGCCAGCAGCCGCAGUAAGAC